rnacentral:lncRNA from 1 species
GUUGUGUUUAAGGUGCUAUUAGUGCAGUGCUAUGGGAAUGAGCCAUGUUAUAGAUUAGCGCUGUCCCGCAGAGCAUUUGCAAAGGUGGAAAUGUUUUCUAUCUAGGUAGGAUAUAUUGAUCAGUCCUGCACUGUAUUCUGUGAUAGUCCUCUUGACUCAUACAUUGUACCUUAUAUAUUUUGUUGUUUUGAUAAUUGUUUUAGUGACUCUUGACUUCAACUUGUAGAAACACAGUUGAAACUGACUUAAGCAAGCAAAAAAACCUAGAAUGUAUUGGCUCCUAUAAUUGGAAAGCCCAGGGAUGAUCAUGUUUCAGAUAUUCCUGGACCUAAGAACUCAAAUGUCAUCAGGAAUUGAAGAGUAGGGUGUGUGUGUGUGUGUGUGUGUGUGUGUGUGUGUGUGUGUUUCUCUAUCCCCAUCCCUUACCAAACUUUUCUGUUUUGCUUUUCUGUCCUUAUAUGCAUUCAGGCAGCUCUAGGCUUAUGGCUCACUAGUGGGGAGGGAGGGAGUUUUUCUACCCCCAGAAAGAUCUUCAAUUAAAGUACUGAAACUGAGUCUUACUGGCUUGGCUUAAAUCACAUGCCCAUCCAGAACUAUCCACUAAGGGAUGAAUGUGAUUAACUAGGUAUGGGCCACGUGCCCACCCCAAGGGAGCCCAGGUUAAAGGUCUACUUUAUCCAUACCAUGUGGCCUAAGUUGGGGAGAAGCAGGUCCCCAAAGAAAAAUUGAGGUCCCUUUACCAGAAGAAGCAGCAAUAAUGCUGCACAAACAUAGCAGGAAAGGUUUACUACAGUCUCACACAGUCAAAAUCUCUUACUUGAAAAAACAUUUAUAUCUAACUGUAAAAGUAAAGGUGCUAAAUGUAGGAAUUUGGAAAAUAUCAAAAAUUAACAAAAUAAAAAUCACCAAAGAUAUAAAUGCCAAAGUGUUCUUUCGAAUCUGUUUUCUCCACAUA